rnacentral:lncRNA from 1 species
UGCACACACAUGUAGUAGUCAAACUAUAUAUAGGAUUGGAGGGCACGAGGAAAAAAUCCUGCACAUGGACCAAACUACACCAUUUACUAUCUCAGCAUCGUCCUGAUUCUAGGUUUUACUCCUCUAUCGAUGCAUUUUUGAACAUGUCAGUGUCACAUUCUGUCAUGACUUGGACUGAUUAAUUUUCGAUGCACAUACUAGCAAGGUGUAGAUUGGUGAGUUGUUUCUGAUGAUAAUAUCUAUGAAUCCGUUUGCCCUAGCAAUAAAUAAAAGAUGAACCGUUGAUGUACUCUCUCUCUCUCUCUUUUUGU